UACGUAGGGGGCUAGCGUUGUCCGGAAUCAUUGGGCGUAAAGCGCGCGUAGGCGGCCCGGUAAGUCCGCUGUGAAAGUCGGGGGCUCAACCCUCGAAUGCCGGUGGAUACUGUCGGGCUAGAGUGCGGAAGAGGCGAGUGGAAUUCCUGGUGUAGCGGUGAAAUGCGCAGAUAUCAGGAGGAACACCGAUUGCGAAGGCAGCUCGCUGGGACGUUACUGACGCUGAGACGCGAAAGCGUGGGGAGCAAACAGG
rnacentral:rRNA from 1 species